UACGUAGGGUGCAAGCGUUGUCCGGAAUUAUUGGGCGUAAAGAGCUCGUAGGCGGUCUGUCGCGUCUGGUGUGAAAAUCCAGGGCUUAACCCUGGACCUGCAUCGGGUACGGGCAGACUAGAGUGCGGUAGGGGAGAUCGGAAUUCCUGGUGUAGCGGUGAAAUGCGCAGAUAUCAGGAGGAACACCGGUGGCGAAGGCGGAUCUCUGGGCCGUAACUGACGCUGAGGCACGAAAGUGUGGGGAUCAAACAGG
rnacentral:rRNA from 1 species